CUACGGGACGCACCAGUGGGGAAUAUUGGACAAUGGGGGAAACCCUGAUCCAGCAAUGCCGCGUGUGUGAAGAAGGCCUGCGGGUUGUAAAGCACUUUCGGUUGGGAGGACUGCUUCUAGCACUAAUAUUGUUGGAAGUUGACGUUACCUUCAGAAGAAGCACCGGCUAACUCCGUGCCAGCAGCCGCGGUAAUACGGAGGGUGCAAGCGUUGAAUCGGAAUUACUGGGCGUAAAGCGCGCGUUGGCGGCUAGAUCAGUCGGGUGUGAAAGCCCCGGGCUUAACCUGGGAACUGCAUCCGAUACUGUCUAGCUUGAGUAAAGGAGAGGAGAGUGGAAUUCCAGAUGUAGCGGUGAAAUGCGUAGAUAUGUGGAGGAACACCAAUGGCGAAGGCAGCUCUCUGGCCUGAUACUGACGCUGAGGUGCGAAAGCGUGGGGAGCAAACAGGAUUAGAUACCCUCGUAGUC
rnacentral:rRNA from 1 species